rnacentral:rRNA from 1 species
AGCAGCCGCGGUAAUUCCAGCUCCAAUAGCGUAUAUUAAAGUUGUUGCAGUUAAAAAGCUCGUAGUUGAACUUCGGGGUCUACCCAUUGGUCAGGCUUAAUUGUCUGCACUGGUGAGAUGGAUCUCUACCUUCUGAGGAACUUUCAUGCCAUUUAUUUGGUGUGGUUGGAAAUCAGGACUGUUACUUUGAAAAAUUAGAGUGUUUAAAGCAGACUAUCGUCUGAAUACAUUAGCAUGGAAUAAUGAAAUAGGACGGACUGAUUCUAUUUCGUUGGUUUCUAGGAUCACCGUAAUGAUUAAUAGGGAUAGUUGGGGGCAUUAGUAUUCAAUUGUCAGAGGUGAAAUUCUUGGAUUUAUGAAGACUAACUACUGCGAAAGCAUUUGCCAAGGAUGUUUUCAUUAAUCAAGAACGAAAGUUAGGGGAUCGAAGACGAUCAGAUACCGUCGUAGUCUUAACCAUAAACUAUGCCGACUAGGGAUCGGACGAAGUUAAUUUUAUAAUGACGCG